rnacentral:rRNA from 1 species
GACGAACGCUGGCGGCGUGCCUAAUACAUGCAAGUUGUGCGCUGAAGGUUGGUACUUGUACCGACUGGAUGAGCAGCGAACGGGUGAGUAACGCGUGGGGAAUCUGCCUUUGAGCGGGGGACAACAUUUGGAAACGAAUGCUAAUACCGCAUAAAAACUUUAAACACAAGUUUUAGGUUUGAAAGAUGCAAUUGCAUCACUCAAAGAUGAUCCCGCGUUGUAUUAGCUAGUUGGUGAGGUAAAGGCUCACCAAGGCGAUGAUACAUAGCCGACCUGAGAGGGUGAUCGGCCACAUUGGGACUGAGACACGGCCCAAACUCCUACGGGAGGCAGCAGUAGGGAAUCUUCGGCAAUAGACGAAAGUCUGACCGAGCAACGCCGCGUGAGUGAAGAAGGUUUUCGGAUCGUAAAACUCUGUUGGUAGAGAAGAACGUUGGUGAGAGUGGAAAGCUCAUCAAGUGACGGUAACUACCCAGAAAGGGACGGCUAACUACGUG